rnacentral:rRNA from 1 species
AACGAACGCUGGCGGCAGGCUUAACACAUGCAAGUCGAGCGCCCCGCAAGGGGAGCGGCAGACGGGUGAGUAACGCGUGGGAACGUACCUUUUGGUUCGGAACAACUCCGGGAAACUGGAGCUAAUACCGGAUAAGCCCUAACGGGGAAAGAUUUAUCGCCGAAAGAUCGGCCCGCGUCUGAUUAGCUAGUUGGUGAGGUAACGGCUCACCAAGGCGACGAUCAGUAGCUGGUCUGAGAGGAUGAUCAGCCACACUGGGACUGAGACACGGACCAGACUCCUACGGGAGGCAGCAGUGGGGAAUAUUGGACAAUGGGCGCAAGCCUGAUCCAGCCAUGCGGCGUGAGUGAUGAAGGCCUUAGGGUUGUAAAGCUCUUUUGUCCGGGAAGAUAAUGACUGUACCGGAAGAAUAAGCCCCGGCUAACUUCGUG